rnacentral:tRNA from 1 species
GGCUGAAUGGUGUAGCGGUUAUCACGCAUCGUUCACAUGAAGUGAGCUUCUUUGAUCUCGAGUUUGAGGUCAUAGUCCCGAUGAGGUCCUGGGUUCGAUUCCCAGUUUAGUCA